AAACAACCCAGACCGCCAGCUAAGGUCCCAAAGUCAUGGUUAAGUGGGAAACGAUGUGGGAAGGCCCAGACAGCCAGGAUGUUGGCUUAGAAGCAGCCAUCAUUUAAAGAAAGCGUAAUAGCUCACUGGUCGAGUCGGCCUGCGCGGAAGAUGUAACGGGGCUAAACCAUGCACCGAAGCUGCGGCAGCGACACUGUGUGUUGUUGGGUAGGGGAGCGUUCUGUAAGCCUGUGAAGGUGUGUCGUGAGGCAUGCUGGAGGUAUCAGAAGUGCGAAUGCUGACAUAAGUAACGAUAAAGCGGGUGAAAAGCCCGCUCGCCGGAAGACCAAGGGUUCCUGUCCAACGUUAAUCGGGGCAGGGUGAGUCGACCCCUAAGGCGAGGCCGAAAGGCGUAGUCGAUGGGAAACGGGUUAAUAUUCCCGUACUUGGUGUUACUGCGAAGGGGGGACGGAGAAGGCUAUGUUGGCCGGGCGACGGUUGUCCCGGUUUAAGCGUGUAGGG
rnacentral:rRNA from 1 species